AGUGAACGCUGGCGGUAGGCCUAACACAUGCAAGUCGAACGGCAGCACAGUAAGAGCUUGCUCUUACGGGUUGCGAGUGGCGGACGGGUGGGGAAUACAUCGGAAUCUACUUUUUCGUGGGGGAUAACGUAGGGAAACUUACGCUAAUACCGCAUACGACCUACGGUUGAAAGCAGGUGAUCUUCGGACCUUGCGCGAUUGAAUGAGCCGAUGUCGGAUUAGCUAGUUGGCGGGGUAAAGGCCCACCAAGGCGACGAUCCGUAGCUGGUCUGAGAGGAUGAUCAGCCGCACUGGAACUGAGACACGGUCCAGACUCCUACGGGAGGCAGCAGUGGGGAAUAUUGGACAAGGGGCGCAAGCCUGAUCAAGCCAGACCGCGUGGGUGAAGAAGGCCUUCGGGUUGUAAAGCCCUUUUGUUGGGAAAGAAAAGCAGCAGGUUAAUACCCCGCUGUUCUGACGGUACCCAAAGAAUAAGCACCGGCUAACUUCGUG
rnacentral:rRNA from 1 species